AUGGGGAGAACUGCCUGGCGAGGAGUGGUGGGGGUCACAGCAGACAACGUACAUACAGCGCAACAAAUUCAAGCUUCCGUCCUCCACUCGUCUUGGGGCCAAUUGGAUAAACUUGGCAUCAGGAGAAUAUGGUGUAGAAACGCCCCCCCCCGGGAGGUCUUGGGGCCCCGGGGACCUGUGGCCAUGCCCCCUUUCCUGGGGGGGUGUCUGUGCCCGAGGAGGCACUCAGAGGGCAGCAAUGGGGCCACAAUGCAGAGCCAGCAGCGUCCCGGUGAGGUCAGAGGCAUGGAAUUGGUCAAAUGGGAUCACCCCGAGGAUUCUGUGCUCACAGCCAGUGACUCAUGCCACGAACAGCCGCACUGGCAGAGACUGCCAACCUGGGACGGCCGAGGCCACCAGCUUACCUCACCCCACAGCACACCUUUUAAGGACAGGGAGCUCGGGGCAGCGCAGAGGCCCCGCCUCUGGCCCCAGGGCCCUUUGGCAGCCCUUCACUGGCGAGGCCAGACCCCCCACCUGGGUUUAAAUCUGGCAUCAUCACUUUUGAGACAUGACCUUGGGGCGUCUCUGGAAGACACUCAACGUCCGCAUCAGCGUCUCUUCGGUCAGGCGAGCCGCCACCGCCUGCUGUGCUGGCCAGCUGUCGGCCUAAGAUCGCACGUAUGUUUUGUACCACGAGGAAGAGGUGCAGGGACGGCCAGCCUGCCUGGCCUCGGACCCCCGCCCAGCCGCCUGUGCUCCGUGAUCUUGCGCGAGGUCCUCAACCUCUGAGAGGGUCUCACGUAUAAAAGGGAAGGAUGGUGAGGAUGCUGACCUUGUGUGGCUGCUGUGGGGUCGGGUGCCUCGAGAGGCCUGGCACCCACUUAGUGCCCUCUGAGAGCUGGCUGCUGUUGCCCAUCCUCCCAGAGCUCUCGGCCUCCCUCUAAUGCCAGCUGCUGGUUCAUCUCCCCUCCGUAUGCCUGUGACGGGUCCUGGGUCAGAGGUCUUUCAGGGGCUGCUCUGAGGCAGCCCCACUCCCCACAGCAGCCUUCCCGAGGCGGUGCUGGGGUGGACCCCUCAAAGACCCAGGUAUGACACAGACACUUUUUUUUUUUUUUAAUAUUUUUUGUAUAUUUAUUUAUGAUAGUCACACACAGAGAGAGAGAGAGAGAGAGGCAGAGACACAGGCAGAGGGAGAAGCAGGCUCCAUGCACCGGGAGCCCGAUGUGGGAUUCAAUCCCAGGUCUCCAGGAUCGCGCCCUGGGCCAAAGGGAGGCGCCAAACCACUGCGCCACCCAGGGAUCCCGACA
rnacentral:lncRNA from 1 species